rnacentral:tRNA from 1 species
UAUUGAAUUAUUUAACUGGAUAGAAUAUCAGAUUUCGGCUCUGAGGGUUGGGGGUUUGAACCCCUCCGCGGUCACUA